rnacentral:rRNA from 1 species
UUGCGGGGGGAUUAGUGGCGAACGGGUGAGUAACACGUGAGUAACCUGCCCUUAACUCUGGGAUAAGCCUUGGAAACGGGGUCUAAUACUGGAUAUUGACUUUACCUCGCAUGGGGUUUGGUUGAAAGAUUUAUUGGUUUUGGAUGGACUCGCGGCCUAUCAGCUUGUUGGUGAGGUAAUGGCUCACCAAGGCGACGACGGGUAGCCGGCCUGAGAGGGUGACCGGCCACACUGGGACUGAGACACGGCCCAGACUCCUACGGGAGGCAGCAGUGGGGAAUAUUGCACAAUGGGCGAAAGCCUGAUGCAGCGACGCCGCGUGAGGGAUGACGGCCUUCGGGUUGUAAACCUCUUUCAGUAGGGAACAAGGCCAGCAUUUUUGUUGGUUGAGGGUACUUGCAGAAGAAGCGCCGGCUAACUACGUGCCAGCAGCCGCGGUAAUACGUAGGGCGCAAGCGUUAUCCGGAAUUAUUGGGCGUAAAGAGCUCGUAGGCGGUUUGUCGCGUCUGCCGUGAAAGUCCGGGGCUCAACUCCGGAUCUGCGGUGGGUACGGGCAGACUAGAGUGAUGUAGGGGAGACUGGAAUUCCUGGUGUAGCGGUGAAAUGCGCAGAUAUCAGGAGGAACACCGAUGGCGAAGGCAGGUCUCUGGGCAUUAACUGACGCUGAGGAGCGAAAGCAUGGGGAGCGAACAGGAUUAGAUACCCUGGUAGUCCAUGCCGUAAACGUUGGGCACUAGGUGUGGGGGACAUUCCACGUUUUCCGCGCCGUAGCUAACGCAUUAAGUGCCCCGCCUGGGGAGUACGGCCGCAAGGCUAAAACUCAAAGGAAUUGACGGGGGGCCCGCACAAGCGGCGGAGCAUGCGGAUUAAUUCGAUGCAACGCGAAGAACCUUACCAAGGCUUGACAUGAACUGGAAAUACCUGGAAACAGGUGCCCCGCUUGCGGUCGGUUUACAGGUGGUGCAUGGUUGUCGUCAGCUCGUGUCGUGAGAUGUUGGGUUAAGUCCCGCAACGAGCGCAACCCUCGUUCUAUGUUGCCAGCACGUGAUGGUGGGGACUCAUAGGAGACUGCCGGGGUCAACUCGGAGGAAGGUGAGGACGACGUCAAAUCAUCAUGCCCCUUAUGUCUUGGGCUUCACGCAUGCUACAAUGGCCGGUACAAUGGGUUGCGAUACUGUGAGGUGGAGCUAAUCCCAAAAAGCCGGUCUCAGUUCGGAUUGGGGUCUGCAACUCGACCCCAUGAAGUCGGAGUCGCUAGUAAUCGCAGAUCAGCAACGCUGCGGUGAAUACGUUCCCGGGCCUUGUACACACCGCCCGUCAAGUCACGAAAGUUGGUAACACCCGAAGCCGGUGGCCUAACCCCC